GGAAUAUAAAAACCCGUCUUUUAAUUUUUAACUAAAAAGGUAAGAACUGAUUCUUAAAUAAGAUAUUUAAGAACCAGUUCUUAAAUUUUUUAGUUAAAAGUUAAGAGACGGAUUCUUAUAUUCU
rfam:Brassica oleracea var. oleracea cultivar TO1000 chromosome C6, whole genome shotgun sequence